AGGAGGGGACAGCUGGCCGCCUUUGCACCUGAGGGGAGAAGGGAAGAGGCUGGAGCCGAGGUCCAAGCCUGGAGACCUACACUCGCCUUUCUGAUAGUGGCUGGACAAGGAGAGCCUGGACCCUUAACUUCCACAGAUGAGACCCGCUCCUUGGGCCAACUGGCCUGCCCCCUCUCCAGUGUGCUCCCACGUGCCAGGACCAGGCUGGAAAAAGCUGGGACAGGACCCACUGGCCUUCAAAGAUGGGGUCCAGGAUGUUGGGGUGAGGCUGGGGGCAGAGAGGUGGAAGCUGAUGGUGCGGAUAAAAGAUACCAGGGGUCAAUGGAUGCGGGCCAGUGCAUGGCCAUCCUGCAGGCCCAUCCAGGAAAAGGAUGGCUGUGGAGUGCAAACAAAUAAAUUCAUGAGGAGUCUUGGAGGCACUGUGUUUCCCUGUGUGGAACCAUCAUGAAGUUAAGCAGGCCUCGAAUUUACUUUCCUAAUUAGGUGUUGCUGGGGUUACCCUUGGCUUCAAUGCCUGGGCCCUCCCGGAUAUGUCCUCAGAGCCGGGCAGGACUUUGUCACCAAACUGCAGAAGCCUUAGUAGCAGGGCCCAUGUUCUCAACACCUGCCCACUUGAUGUCUUGCAGAGCACUGGACAUGGACUUGCUGCCCACAAAGUGUCUGGUGAAUAAGUGAGUGAGGAUGUGAAUGAAUGAAGUGCUGGCUCUGGUUAAAAUAUAUGUUAACGCACAAAUCAUCUGACACUCACGUGUUGUUCCCUACAAGUGGGGGUGGUUGUCAGGCAUCCCUGCAUCACACACACACACACACACACACACACACACACACACACACACACCCCAGGGAGUGAAGACUCCCAGCUUGUGUGGAGGAAAGAGAAGCCCGGGGGCCUGGACCACCCUCGGUGGCUGUGUCAAGGCCAGGCGACCCCCUCCCCAGGGCGGGCCUCACCCGGAAACCCCGCCCCCAGAUACCACGUGACUAAGCCUCUAACCUGCCUUCUUUCCUCCAAGAAGCCAAGGGAGGUGUCGGCUGCUGUCACCCCUGCUGGCUGUCUUCCUCACGCAGUCCAGUCCGUUUCCUCCUGGGAAGGCUGGGGACAUGGCCAGUCUUGGCUCCAGCUGGGACACAGCAGGUGAGGUGUUGUCACAUCCCAGGCGGCCCAACCAGAGGGGGACGCAGGAGACCAGAAGAGCAUGAGGCAGAGACAGUGGGAAGGAAAAGCAGGGUGUGUGGACCGUUCCCGUAGGGAGGCUGGAAGUGAUCUGGGAAAAGAAGACACAUCAAUGGGAGGCUGAGGACACCUCGAUCCCGGCUCCUAGAGGGGCCACAGGGGCCUCGUCUGGAGUGGACAGGUGGGGGACAGGAGGCCUGAUGUCGCAGGCUGCCCUCAGACUGUCUUGCUCUCUGCCGUCGUCUGCCUUUGGAAUGCACCCUUCCAGGGUGACACUUGCUUUGUUUUGAGAUGAGGCAGCUGAAAGGUGAUUUACCAGGCAGCUCGUGGGCACCUCAGGCUGCUGUCAGGACCACACUGCUCUCUAAGCUCGGUUGCCCUGACCAAGGCCAGGGAGCCCUAGGGGAGGUCUUUGGGUCACCUUUCAGCUCACGAGCUGUGGGUUGAGAGUCUGGAGACCUGGAGGCUAGCCCGGGUCCUGCCACUAAACUCCCUGGGUGACACGCAUUGAGAAAUCCAGUCCCCACCUCACCUGAGAAAUCCAGAAUUGGACCAAUGUCUCGUCCCACUUAUAAUUCUGAGAUUUUAAACUCUAUCACAUAACCGAGGGCAAACUGAUUUCCAGGUACAUGAUGGAAAGCGAGAGAGCCCUCUCCUCUUACCUAGGGAGAUCCGUGUGGGUUGAAUUCUCAUUGAGCAUCUCUACCUGCCGGCAGGCAGUUAUCAUACCUAGUAACUCAGGCUGUCAUUGGUCUGGUGUCCACAUAAGGAUGGUUCUUUGAUGGAUCACCAGUGAUAUAGGUGCUCUGAUGAUAGGAGUGAAUACAUAGCGGAGCCUGGCUCUCAGCAGCAAGUGUGUGGGUUACCUGCUCUCACUGUUGUGACUAUUAUGAGAUGGGUCCCGUAGACACGGCUUCCUGCUAAGAAGGAGUGGAAUUGCUGCAUCUUUUCUCAGGGCUCCAAGCACAAGUCAGCAGCCUGACUGACCCCUUGGCCCGGAGUCCUUGGCUCUGUGUCCUUUGCCUCAGCUCAACGUCAGAAUCCGUCACCGGCGGACCAGGUGAGAAUGAGAUGUGUUAGACAGUCGCCGUGCUCUUCGUGGAAGUGUGUGGUGACUGUCAAGCUUCCUCCUGGUACAGGAGGUUAUGAGCAAGCCUGUGCUUCUUCCUGGGUGCGCGCCAUAGACUCUGGGCUCUUUUGCACGUUGGAGCCUUUCAGAGCAUCUCAAGGUUGGAGAUCAGCUACUUGACCUGCACCACUCCUUCCUCCAACACGUGGAGGAAAACAAUCCCCAGAGAAGCGAAGAUGGUUUGUGAUUCUUUGACUAAAGUUCUUCUAUAGACAAAAGGCAGGUGAGGACAUGAGUGGGAGUCUGUCCUGGGAAGGCCUCAUAAGGUUCUGAUUGGUUACAGUAUCAGCUUCCUGUGUGUCCUCGCUGAGUGAGUCCUUGUCAUCACCAACAAGCCUUGUUUGCAGGGAGGCACACCCAGACCCCCUGAACCAUAGACGUUCCCAGCUCUGAAAGCAAUCAGUCAGCAAAGGGCCCACAGAACAAUUCUCUGAAGAGGAAGAGACUGAUGCCCAGAUAGAAGAAAUGGUGGAUGCAGGACUAGAAGCAUGGUGUGCCCCGCUCCCUCUAUGGCCACCGCCUCUCACGAGAUACAGUCCAGGGUGGGGUCCCCUCAGUCCCACCCUAGACGGAUACUUGGUAGACUAUGUUUGGAACCUCAAUGUUGCCUGGAUGUUUUGGGAAAGGCAAAGCGAAUGGUUCGUCUGCUCACUUAACGCAGAGCAGUGUGUGGAGACAGAACUCAUAGGCUGUUUUAGAAGACCUCCAGCCCCAUCAGGGCCUGGGGGCAGGCCCCUUGUUGCCCGAGCCUGGGAGGAAGCUUCCACGGGAGGAUGGCACUUGCUCCAUGGCACAGUGGUUUACAUUGUUUCCUGAGGCUUAGACCUUCUCGUUCUGUCCCAAGAAGGUGCAGCCUCAUCUGAGUGGAGCUGUAAAUAGCAGAAGGCAGAACUGCACGUGUCCCAUCUUCAGAACCAGGAUCUUCCUGGGGCGAGUUUGGCCACUGCCCACGAGCUGUACGUGAACUCCCCGGGCAGGCAGGAGUCUGCGGAGCUCAGGCUUUCCACCUCCCGUCUCCAGAUGCAAACCAGGGGGCUGUAACUUGCUCUCAUGAACAUCCAAACUUCCCUUAAAGACUUCUUUUUUCCAUCUGGACACUUGGAUAUGUGUGUCAUGUGGAUACAUUAGCAUUCCAGAACUCAGGACUACAAAAGACCUUGGUGGAGGAGAAUGAACCAGGAAAAGCACAGCCUGAUGUGAUGGAAAGAAUACUAAAACUUAAUGACAGACCAAGGUUGACAGUAAAGGGAUGGAAAAAUACAUACCAAGCAAAUGAGAGCUAAGAGGAAGCCAGGGUGACCAUCCUAAUGCCAGCCAAAGAAGACCCAAGAGAAAGAUAUUUUUGGAGGUAAAGAGCAUUCUUUAAUUACUAAAGGAAUAAUUCAUGAGGAAUAUAAAAUAAUUCUUGAGCUGAAUUACACCUAGCAAUUCAUAUUCAAACUGUAUAAUGUAGCCAUUGCCAGAAUUAUAAGGAGGGAUUGGCAAAUACAUUUAGGGCAGGAGGUUUUAACAUACCAUUCCAAAAACUAAUAAUUCGAGCAGGUAAAAAAAUAAAUAAUAGCAUAAGGAUGAUUUGAACUGCAUGGUUAACAGCUAUUACUCCAUGCUCUUAUCUUGAAUUGUGCACCUUGAAUUAGAGAAGUCACUGUCUUUUCAGCCAAACAUGGAACAAUGGUCAACUUUACUAUUAUUUUCAUUUUUAUUGUCAUUCAUUGACUUUUAACGUACUGCUUGCCUUAUCUUAAGUGAUACACCAUCCCUGAACUAUUACGUUUAACGUGGUAGUUAUUACAUUUCUUUUUAAGAUACUGUUUAUUAAUUAUAUAAGUAGCACACAUUUUUAAAUAUCCAUAUCCCCUGAAUCUCCUUGUUAAACCACCACUGAUGAAUAUUAGAAAUAGAGAAUGCUGAAAUUAAGGAAGUAAGGGUCUAAUUAAGAAGUUAUAAAAGGAGUUCCCGUCGUGGCACAGUGGUUAACGAAUCUGACUAGGAACCAUGAGGUUGCGGGUUCGGUCCCUGCCCUUGCUCAGUGGGUUAAGGAUCUGGCGUUGCUGUGAGCUGUGGUGUAGGUUGCAGACGCGGCUUGGAUCCCGCGUUGCUGUGGCCCUGGCGAUUCGAACCCUAGCCUGGGAACCUCCAUAUGCCGCGGGAGCGGCCCAAGAAAUAGCAACAACAACAACAACAACAACAACAACAAAAAGACAAGAAGUUAUGAAAGAGUAAUGGGAUAACUUAAUGGAAAUAGGGGAAAAAAGGAAAUAAGAACAAGAAUAGUAAAAUUAAUGAAACAAGAGAAAAGAGAUGAAAAUACUUAAAAAGCUGGCUUUUUUGGGAAAAAAAAGUAAAAAAAAUAGGCAAUCCUUAAGAAAUAUUGGUUAAAUAAAAGAGAACACAUAAAAACAAAAUAAUGGAAGUGAAAACUGAGAAUUAAUUAUAUUUACAAUAUAGAUUUUAAAAUUAUGAGAUAACUAUGAUUGACCUUAUGCCAAUAUAUUUGAAAGCUUAGAUAAAAUGUAAUACCAAGACUGAAUGAAUAAAAAGAUAUCAAGAAUGGACCUAACACUAUUAAACAAUUUGCCUUGUGAAAGUAGUUUAAAAACUAUCUGCAAAACAAAACAACCAAAAAAUUCCAAACAAUGUAGUCAGAUUGUUUUACAUUGAAUUCUACCAAAUCUUUAAGGAAGAAACCAUCCCUAUCUUUCAUAAACUGCGUCAGAUCAUAAAGAGGGGAAACUAUACAAAUCUGAUGCCCUGGAGUUCCCGUGGUGGCGCAGUGGUUAACGAAUCCGACUAGGAACCAUGAGGUUGCGGGUUCAAUCCCUGCCCUUGCUCAGUGGGUUAAAGAUCCGGCGUUGCCGUGAGCUGUGGUGUAGGUCUCAGACGCGGCUCGGAUCCCGCGUUGCUGUGGCUCUGGCGUAGGCCAGUGGCUACAGCUCCGAUUAGACCCCUAGCCUGGGAACCUCCAUAUGCCGCGAGAGCGGCCCAAGAAAUG
ensembl:lncRNA